GACGAACGCUGGCGGCGUGCUUAACACAUGCAAGUCGAACGGAAAGGCCCUGCUUUUGUGGGGUGCUCGAGUUGAGAACGGGUGAGUAACACGUGAGUAACCUGUCAUUGCCUUUGGGAUAACUUCAGGAAACUGGGUGUCAUACCGGCUAGGAGUUCCUGCUGUUUGGUGGGGGCUGGAUGGUUUCGGCGGUUGGGGAUGGAAUCGCGCCCUAUCAGCAUGUUGCUGGGGUAGUGGCUUACCAAGGCUUUGACGAGUAGCCAGCCUGCGAGGGUGAGCGGCCACAUUGGGACUGAGAUACGGCCCAGACUCCGACGGGAGGGAGCAGUAGGAGAGAGUACACUAUGGGCGGAAGCCUGAUGCAGCAACGCCACGGGCGGGAUAGCGACCUUCGGGUUGGAGUCCUCUUGCGCCUGUGACGAAGAGGAAAUGGCGGGAAUGGGUAAAAAAGCACCGGCUAACUACGUG
rnacentral:rRNA from 1 species